AUUAUCUCCUGGAGUUUGGGAGGACUGAUGCUGAAGCUGAAGCUCCAAUACUUUGUCCACCUGCUGUGAAGAACCGACUCAUUGGAAAAGACCCCGAUGCCGCAUUUCAGACACUCUAUGAAGGCCUCUGUUUACAUAGCUGCUGGAGUGGGGAAACUCAUUCGAGUGUAAACCAGAAGUGCUCUGAAGGACAGCUCUUUUACUUGUGAAUGAUGUGAGUACACGGAUGGAGUCUUCCUCCUUUAUACUCUACAGACAGUCCUAAAAUUUACUUCAUAAAGUUCUUCAAGAGGUCUAAUGUGAUGGAAUAACCAGUUGGAACAGCCAGUUCAGGGAGACAUCUUGAAUUGACUUUUCCCUUCUUCUCCACUCCCUCAUUUCUCAUUUCUACCUCCAGAACACAUUUUCCAGUAAAGCACUUCCACUUUGUAUCAGGUCUUGAUUCUUGAGGAAGUCAGUCUAAGGCACCCUAAUCUUAAAA
ensembl:lncRNA